GGACCAGCUCUAGUUCAGCAGUUUCUUCAACAAAGCAUCAGCUUUCAAUUUCCCCUGCGGGGGUGGUUUGAGACCUGAGAACACUCUCUAGUCCUAGA
rnacentral:vault_RNA from 1 species